rnacentral:ncRNA from 1 species
AUCGGACCCGGUGGAAAUCCGGGUGGCGCUUCCGGCCGCCAAUCCGCCGGACCAAC